rnacentral:rRNA from 1 species
AACGAACGCUGGCGGCAGGCUUAACACAUGCAAGUCGAACGCCCGUAGCAAUACGGGAGUGGCAGACGGGUGAGUAACACGUGGGAACAUACCCUUCGGUACGGAACAACUCGGGGAAACGCGAGCUAAUACCGUAUACGCCUUGGCGGGGAAAGAUUUUUUCGCCGAAGGAUUGGCCCGCGUCCGAUUAGCUAGUUGGUGGGGUAACGGCUCACCAAGGCGACGAUCGGUAGCUGGUCUGAGAGGAUGGCCAGCCACAUUGGGACUGAGACACGGC